rnacentral:rRNA from 1 species
GACGAACGCUGGCGGCGUGCCUAAUACAUGCAAGUCGAACGCAGUGGGGACGGGUGAGUAACACGUGGGUAACCUCCCAUCAGAGGGGAUAACACUUGGAAACAGGUGCUAAACCGAUACUGAUGGAUGGACCCGCGGUGCAUUAGCUAGUUGGGGGGGUAACGGCUCACCAAGGCCACGAUGCAUAGCCGACCUGGGAGGGUGAUCCGGCACACUGGGACCGAGACACGGCCCAGACUCCUUCCGGGAGCAGCCGUUGGGAAUCGUUGGCAAUGGACGAAAGUCUGGCCGAGCAAAGCCGCGGGAGUGAAGAAGGUUUUCGGAUCGUAAAGCUCUGUUGUUAAGGAAGCGGUACUUAACCAGAAAGGGACGGCUAACUACGUGCCAGCAGCCGCGGUAAUUC